UGAAACCAGACAUCUUUCAUUUAGCAGGCCACCACAAUCAAGCUCACACAUGGUCCAACAUAUAUUCAUGCUAAAUAACAAGAUAUAAUAGAUGAUGGUCACAAGACAUGAAAGGAUAACGCACCAGUACGUACGUGCGUCAUUUCACACUGAAAAACACAGACAGGUUCCGGUUCAGAAAGGGAGAAAGCCAAAACAAAAGUUCACAGCUAUUAAUCGCGACAAAACGUAUGCACAGGAUAAUUGAGUAAGCGCAUUGUUGGAUCCUCCAGAUUUAAGCACCAAGCUCCUGCUGACCUGACCAUCAGUAAGUAACCUGUCAGGUGAGUUUACUACGUAAGCUUCUAUCACAAUUACAGAGGUGGUACAACUUUUAUAGAAAAACAAACAACCAAUGCACUCACCACCUCACUCCAUGUGUCGGCAUGUGCAAGAGCAACUCCAGAGAAGGUAACGGCCGGGUUCCUGCUACGACCUGCAUACAAGCGUCCAAAGAGUUAGAUUCAAUAGCAUAAGAAGGUAAACUCCCCUCUCGCCUCGCCCCCCUCGCGGGCGACACGGGGGGAUCCAACCUCUGCCGCCAGAGAGUCAUCCCGUGCCCGUCCUCCCCUCCGCUGCAGGUGGUCGGCGACGGGCUAAGCCCGUGCGUGCGACACGGUGGCGGAGGGCCUCUUCCCUCUCCCCCGGAUCCAUGGGUGGCGCGGGCGCCCAGAUCCGCGGAGGUGCGGCCCCCACUUCGGUCCACGGCGACGCCUGUGGUGGUGCCGGUGGGAAUCGGCCGGUUGCACAGGGGGCGCUGGUGGCCGGGGCGGCGACCCCAUGGCUAGGUGGCGGCGUGCCUGUUGGUCCGACUGGUUCCGGCCCGUCCUGGAUCUGGUGACUACCGGACGGCGCGGGGGGUGGCGGCGGCCCGGCGUGGCCGGCGAUCUGGACGCGGUGGUGCCGGCGGCUCUUCGCUGGUUUGCCGGAGUUCCAGGGGUAUCAUCGUCUCUGACUCGUUCUGCUCCGGUUCGUGCUAGUUCCGGUCCAGGGAGACUGUCGUCAUCUCCCGGUGCUAGCUGCAUGGAUCUGGCGGCGGCGACUGGAUCCUUUUGAUCUAGUCUCCGACAGAGAAGGCGGCGAUCCGUGCACAAGAAGCUGGAUGGAGUUCUUCGAACAGAUCUGGGUGAAAACCUGCUCUUGGCUAGAUGCCAAAGCCGGCGGUGGCGGCACUCUGCGGUGUAGUUCCCUUCAUGAAGGCAUCGCCGUGGAGAAGUUCUAGACCACUAUCUGCUACCUCCGGGGGAAACCCUAGAUCGAUAGAUCAGAAGACGGCGGCGCGCUUGUGUCGUUUCCCCCCUUGGGGGCGUCAUUCUUGGAGGUGUACACGGACUCGAGGGACCAGUGGACGACGUCUUUGGUGGAGCGGUGCUUCAUCAUUCACAUUCAUGGUGACAGAUCUCGAUGGCAUGGCACCCUGGAGAUUAGGCGUCUGAUGUGCGAUGAUGGACUCGCGCAGGAGGGUGACGCUGUCUGGCGUCAACGGCAGCUAGACCGGGCAAGGUAGAUGCAGCAGUACAGCUCUGAAGAUGGAUUGGUGGCAGGUGGCGGCGGCGGCCUCUCAGUGUGCGCCGGACCGGUGGGUGUCCCAUACCCGGCAGGCGUCCUGGUUGGGGCCUCAGGUCUUAGAUGUUAGGUUUGGCUGCGAGGUCUGUUUGGUAUUAGGCCCAGACUAUCAGCGUCCCUUCAUCAACUGGAUAGGAGUAGCGACAGAUGUUGCCUAGACGGUGGCUUCUGUUUUACUGUUGUACUAUUACUUUGUAAGGUCGUUUGUGCAUAAUUAAUAAAGUGGCUGCAUGCAUCGUCCAGAUGCAGAGGGCGGGGGUCUUCCUCCUUUUCAAGCAAAGAAAAAUACUUCAGACUCAUAAGAUGAGGAAUUUUUUGUUUCUCGGUCACAGACCUAGCGAUGCAGUGUUAAGGAAUUCUUCGUCUUCAGGGAACAGCUGCAGAUUUUUUGAUUUCAGAAUGUGCUCGACAGCGGUACCGUAGAAGUCCAUAAAGCUACAUAUUUUAACGACCUCCGCAAGCAAAGGGAUAUGCUCUGCUUUCUCGAAGAGCAGCCCUUGGGAUAUCUCAUCUGCAAACUUUGUCGCAAACUCCAACUUUUCCUUGUAGCCUGGUGCACGCUUGCUUUUCUGCAUGUAGAGUUUCGAGCUCUCCCUCCCCCACCGGAGUUUCCGUGUGCCCUUCACAUCAAGAACGUCCCCAGAGGAUAGCUUCACGUUGUAUCCCACCGUGAUUGGCUCGCUGGUCUCUAGCACCAUCACAUCGAGCAGGCAGGAAACAAUCUUGUGCCGCUCUUCAGCAGAAAUGUCGAGAGCAGGAUCGGCAAGAAAAGCAAGGACAAGUUUGAUCAUACCAACAUUGAUCACCUUACAUCGAGCAGCUUUUGUUGGACUGACAUUUUCCAAUGUGAGUGAAUCAUUCUUCCCAACAGCUUUGGAUAUUGCCUGGACUCCAAUGCUACCGUGGAUGUUGUUCAGCUUUGCUCGAGACAUGGAAGGCAGGCUUGAAGAAGGAUACCAGAUGAACAAUGACCGGUUAGGAAGCUUGUCGAACAAAUCCUUGAGAAGUAGAUCAUCGGGAAUAAACACGUCCUCUUUCUUUGACAUAAGGAUAGUUCCGUCGGUGCAAACUGGAACCUUGACAAAAGCAGGAAGAAGCUUUUGUUGGAAUUGAUCUACGGCUGAAACAAAGCGUGAGAGAAAAGGGGGAGCCUUUUGACCCCAGACGUGUAAUGAUCGGAAGCACACCACACAUCCACACGUUUGGUUUUGGUCCGAUGUUCCCAGCACACAUACAUAUAAGGAAAAGGGGGAUUUUCAUUAUGGAAACGGAAUCACGAUCUAAACCCACCUAACUGCUGAUCCUGAAGAUGUGCUGAGGUACUUGAAGGCACCACUGGCCACCCUAAGGCUAUGCCGGUGGCCCCCUGCACGUCCAUCUCCCUGCUGCCCCUUCUUCCCCGGCCAUCUCUUCACUGCCGGUGACCCCAAGGUGCAGCCAUGGGCUACCUCCACGGUCUCAACCAAGUCUGGUCAGUAUCUAUUUUUCACAUCAUGCAUUAGAUCAGUGGCGGAGCUAUGUUGGUUGCUGGGGGGCUGUGGCCCCCUCAACAUUGAACCAACUUGUGAAGGAAAAAAUAUUAUGAUGGCUUAGAUGAAAACUUUGUUAGCUUUUGUAUUCCGCCCCCCCCCCCCUAAGCUGUCCUGUCACAUUUCUCUACCUAAUAAUAAAGAGAAUUGGGUUUCUGCCCGUACGUCAUAAAAACUACCCUCGAAGUUGCCCUAAAUUACCCACUAUGCCAUCUAUAAGUGAAAAAACUGAUUUAGUUUCUUUUUCUUGAAAGCCGCCGCGGGGUUUGAUUAUUACACAAUGGUACCCUAAUAAAACACAAGCAGAAGAGUGCGGCACUGGUCUGUGCUUCAACACAUCAUGUGGGAGUAGGGAUGGCAAUGGGUACCCAUUAUCCGCGUACCCUGUGGGUAAAAACCCUAUUAGGGUAAGGGUAUGGAAGAAAAAAUUACCCAUGGGUACUUAAAUGGGAAAAUAUCAUACCCAUCGGGUAGAGAGGGUACGGGUAUGGGAUCGUAUAACCCAUGCCCACGUACCCAUGUACCCAUCGAAAAUGUUGACAGGUGGGUUUCCGUUAAUAUUCCUAUGUAUUCAUUUCCCCUCCUAAUCACGCUAGGUAAACACUCUAAUGUGUAUUCAAAUUAUCUCUAUAAUUUAUCAUGAUUUCGUGAACUAAAAGUGUAUGCAUAUGUGUUGUUAUUUAUGAUUAUGUGUUGUUGUUUAAUAUUUUUAUAUGUCACUUUAUAGGCAAGUAUUUUUGUUUAUGAGAAUAUGUUGUUGUCACAAUAUGUUGUUGUACAUUGCUGUUUAAAAUGUGUUGCUAUUAAUAAUUUAUGAUUAUAUGUUGCUUUUUACAACUAUUCUACUCAAUUCAUGUGUUGUAAACGCGGUUAUUUGUACCCGCGGGUACCCAUAUACCCUGGCGGGUGACGGGUAUGGGAAAAAAUGUACCCUUAACGGGUAUGGGCAUGGGUGAUGGGUAAACUCAGGGCGGACGGGUAAGGGUAUGGGGUAGCUCCACCCGUACCCAUACCCUGUGGGUGCCAUCCCUAUGUGGGAGACCCGGGUUCGAUCCCUGGUUCACCCCUUUUCUCUUUUUUUUCUGCAAGGGGUCGUCCUUCUCCCGCACAUGUUACAGGUGUGAUGUCUCCAUUCUGUUUUCUUUUCUUUUUUUUUUACUUUUUUUCUUCUUAUUUAUUUUUAUGUUUUUCUCUUUUAAAUUCAACGGAAAAAUUCCAAAUUUUAAAAGGUCGUGAGUUGAAUUUUGUAUAGAAAUCGUAAAAUGUUCACGAAUUCAGAAAAUGGUAGAGAAAUCAUAAAAUAAAUAAGAUUAAGAAACUGUUUGCAUAGUAUAAAAACAUUAUUUCAAAGCAAAUAUUCAUGAUUUUUAAAAGGUGAUCGUGAAUUCAAAACAUAUUUAGCAAUUUGAAAAUUAUGUCCAUAAAAUUUUAAAAAAUGUUUGCAAAAAUUCAAACAGAUACGUAAAUAACGAAAAGACGAACCAUCACUUAAAUAUUUUUUAGGGGAUACAUAGAGGUUGUUUUAUGAUUUUAUUUAGUCCAUGACGCAUCGGUUAAAAAAGGGUUUUUGUGUUCUAUACAAUGCUUGCUCCCAGAAAAAUUGACACAACUUUCUAUGGCGCAAUGCUAGGUCAAGAUGAGACGUAGUUUAUGACAUGACAUUUUAGAAGUCCUUAUCUCAUCCUGACAUAGUCUAAUUGUUUUUCCCCAUUGUAAUGCACGGGCAUAUUUGCUAUAUCUCUACCUAAUAGAGGAUAAGCGGCAACACAAAUAUGAUAUCUCGCGAAAAUAAAGGAGAUGGACCUAUUGUGAUCUUGAGUGAUGGUUGUUGGGUUAAGAGCGUGUGUUAUGUUUUCUCUUCCGUUGCAACGCACGGGCUCUUUUGCUAGUAUCCUUGAAGAUUGUUUCUAACAAUGGUAUCAUGAGCAUGUUUAUGCCUAGAUUAGAUCCCUACUGACCUUCUGUUUACGUUAAUGGUAAUGGUUAAGUCAUAAUGAUUUCAGAUUAAGAUCGAUGGUUAAUGCCUAUAGAUUAAUGCCCUCUGCUAAGUCAAUGAUAUAUGUUCAGGUUAAUUGGUUUCGGUCAAGGCCAAUUGCUAUGGGUUAAUGCUAUUAGACAGAACGUCCAAUAUAUUCUGUUAGAUUAAUUGAGCCAAGCUUCCGCAUCGAGUUAAUGAUACAAUUAGCACGUUACAAUCCCCGGUUUAGCAAUUAGGAGGUGAUUUGACAAACUAAUGAAAAUCCCCAAAGUUCCAAAUUCACCAAAACCCUACCCUAGAAAAUUCCCCAAUUUGCAAAUCCAAAGCGCCAAAUGUUGAAAUUGAAGAAAAGAGGGACUGGUACUGUUGUUAAUGGCGGCCGCAGUGCGUGCUCGUCAUGGCCGGAACGACGCCGUCCUUCGGGACGACGACCAGUGUGAAGCGCGCCGCCGCUCGCCGCUCUAAUGGACGCGCACGUCGGCAGGGUUCCGCGCCUUGCACGUCGCCGUCACAUCCAAAAGAUUGCGCCGGCAAUUGCGCUCGUCUCCCCAUCGUCGCUGUCUGGGCCAUAUUGCGUCCCGAGUGGCCACGCUCGGCAGAGGAGCGCGCGGCACUCCGUCCGCUGCGGACCCCUGUUUUGUUCCGCUGGGUCUCGAUCUGGUCCGUCAAUCCGAUCGGACGGGUGACAGCGACAAGUUGCAAAUAAUGGGCCUCGGUUUGUUAAAUGGGCCAAACCUGGCAGUGGGCAGGUUGGUACCUCCUAUCUGCCACAUUCUGCGGCAGACUUGCAGGCGAGAGCUCCUAUGCGCCGAAUUGUCGAGCGGACGCACAGGCGUGUCUCCAGCUGGGCCAGCCCAUUAGCGCAAGGCGGUGAAUAAAUCCCAAAAUACUACGCUCGAGCGAGGGAUUGAACCAGGGACCUCCAUCUUUGUACGCAUGAGCCUAGCCAACGCGAUAGACAAGCUUUCUUGGUUUGCCAUGGCGCGCGAAGCUAACAGAUAAUGUAGAUCGGAACAUUUCUCAAAUUCCUAACGCGGAAAUUAUUUUGAAAAAGUGUUUUUUAAAAAAAGUGAACACUUUCCAAAUUUUAAAGAGAAAAACUAAAAAUCUUGUACAAAGUUUUGAUAAAAUGAACACUUUUUAAAAUCCCGAACAUUUUUUGAAUUUAGAGAACAAAAUUUGAACAUGAACAUUUUUUAAAGCACAAACAUUUUUUUAAUCUUGAGAACAAAUUUGGAAGCGCGGAUUUUUUUAAAGCAUCAACAUGUUUUUUGAAUCUUGAGAACAAAUUUGGAAGCGCGAACAAUUUCUUAAAGCACGAACAUUUUUUUAAUAUUGAGAAAAAAAUUUGAAACAGAGAACCAAUUUGAAAAAUCCCGAACAAAUUUGGAAGGGUGAACAUUUUUUGAAAAUGGGAACAAAAAAAUUAAAGUCUGGUACAUUAUAUUAAUUUCGAAAGUUUUAAACUUUUUUUGUAACGAGAACAAUUUUUGAAUUUUGAGAACAUUUUUAGAAAAAACUGAACAUUUUAUGGAAAGGCAACCAAAAUUUGAAUAUUUUGAAAAAUAGAGAGAAAAGAAAAAGAAAUAAGAGACCAAAGAAAGAAAACAAACAGAAAAAACGAAAAAAGAAGAAAUGAAAAAAGAAACAGAAAGGAAUUUGAAAAUCUGAAGAACAAAAAGGAAAUAGAAAGAGAAGAAAAAGGAAUUGAAAAUGAACUAAAGAAACAGAAAAACAAAGAAAGAAAAAAAAGAAACAGAAAAAGAAAAAGAAAAACUGUGAAAAACUGGUUCAAGAACCUUCUGGAAGGUUCUCAAAACCGGUCAGGAACCUUCCAGAAAGUACCCAAAACCAGAUACUAUAGCGCGUGUACUAUCUCGUAGUUGGGCCGGGCCAUCUUGAUUGCUAGGUCGCUCGCCUCUGUGGGUUCGCUCGACUUUCUGCCGCAAUGAUCGUCCGUUAGGAUAUUCCCUUACGGGGAGUUCCUAUGGAUCGCAUUCUGCGCUGCUUGAAAGCAUAUGACUCUAACCAGUUGACCUAGUGACAUUUCUUCAUUACAAUACACCGAUCCGUUAAAAAAUUCAAACCCAAAACUUGUUUUUUCAAAAAAAAACAUGAAUGUUUUAUCAAACGGGAACAUUUUUUCAAUUUUUUAAGAAUUUUGAGAAAACUUAAACAUUUUUCAUCACGCAAAAUAAUUUUGGAGAAGCGAACAUUUUCAAAAUGGAACAUGUUUUAAACUGCCAAAAAAACUGAACAGGAAUUUUUUUUCAAAAAUAGGAACAUUUUUCAAAUUCCAAAACAAAAUUUGGAAACACGAAUAAAUUUUGAACGCGCACAAAUUUUUAAUUUCCCAAACAUUUUUUUGAAAACAUGAAGGUUUUGGAAUAAUUUUUUAAAGAACGAACUUUUUUGAAUCUUGAGAACAAAUUUUGAAACGGAGAACAAAUUUUGAAGCGCGGACAAAUUUUUAAAACACUAACAUUUUUUGAAUUUUAAGAACAAAUUUUCAAAUGGAGAACAAUUUAAAAAAUUCCUGAACAAAUUUGGAUGCGUGAUGUUUUUUAAUACGUGAACAAAAAAUUGAAAUCCGGUACAUUUUCUGAAUUUCGAAAGUUGUGAACUUUUUUGUGUAAUGACAACAAUUUUUUGAAAACUGAACAUUUUUUUAAAACAUGGACGUUUUGGGAUUUGUGAACAAUUUUUUAGAGCAGAAACAUUUUUUGAAUCUUGAGAACGAAUUUCAAAAAGGAGAACAAAAUUUUAAUGCACGAACAUUUUUUGAAUCUUGAGAACAAAUUUUGAAAAGGAGAACAAUUUUGGAAAAUCCCUAACAAAUUUGGAAGCAUGAUUUUUUUUUGGAAUAAAUGAACAAAAAAUUGAAAUCCGGUACAUUUUCUGAAUUUCAAAAGUUGCUGAACUUUUUUGUGUAAUGAGAACAUUUUUUCAAAAACUGAACAUUUUGUUGGAAACAUGAAUAAAACUUGAAUAUUUUGAAAAAAGUUUGAAAAAAAGAGAAGGGAAGCAAAAGAAACAAAAACCAAAGAAAAAAUUGUUGAGAAGAGAAAUUAACUUGAAAAGGAAAACUGGAAGAAAACAAAAGAAGUAACGAAAAGAAAAGAAAAAAGAACCAGAAAAAGGAAGAAGAAAAACAAAUAGAAAGGCUAAAAAAGAAAAAUAAAAGGAAAAAUAAAAAACCGGUUCAGGAACCUUCUAGAUAGUUCCCAAAACCAGUAAGAACCGGCUGGGAACGCUCUAGAAGGUUCCCGAAACCAGAACCUGUAAGUACGCUAAAGAUGGGCCGGCCCAAAUCGCUCGCUAGUGGGCAUCCCUUGUGCGAUUCGUCAACAGUUUGACGCAAUAUGCGUCAAAUAGGAUUUUCCCACUGGCGGCGCUUCGCACAAGGGUGCCAAACUAACGGCCCGCCUAGGCAAUGAACCCCGUGAUGCGAAAAAAAAGGAAGAACGACGCGCCCUAGGUUCGAAAUCUUCGUGGCUAAUAAUUACCUGCCUCAACCAGUGG
rnacentral:lncRNA from 1 species